CCACUCACCAAAACAUAAUUUACCAGAUUUGCACACCCCCAUCACCGAUCCAUUACAGACCAAGCACCGAUACACACUGGGCAAUGAUCUCACCCUAUGAAUGACGAAAAUCAUAUCCACCAUGGACACAGAACUGUGCAUCCAUGGAAUGCAGUAAUGUUGGAUCGGAGUGUUUUGUUGACUACACAAGUCAAUUUAUUACUAAAGAGUGAAGUCGUGAACCAGAAGAGAAUAGAGUGAAGUCGUCUUUAGCAUGAACGGAGACCGGUUUAGACUAGUUUAGACUGGUUUCCAAACCUCUGGAAUGAUGACAAUGAAACAGAGAAUGGAGGGGGACGUUCACAACGUGUGUGUUUUUGAAGUAGACGUGUAUAUUACAGGAAAUAUAGAAGAUUGAAGAUUGUGGGUGGGGUGUGUAAGUGCGUAAAGGUAAAGAAGAAAGAUCGUGGGUGGGAUGUGUAAGUAAGGGCAAAGACGUAAGAUUAUGGUGUGUAUUGAGCAAAUUUCUUAUUUAUCAAAUUACUAAAGGUGUGCCUUCAGUAAUGGUGUCCCUUGAAAUAAAA